rnacentral:tRNA from 1 species
GGGGAUGUGGCUCAAGUGGUAACGUGCUCGCCUGGCACGCGGGGUGCUGAGUUCGAUCCUCAGCACCACA